CAGAUGCGACUAGUGAUUUUGUGCAGAACUGCAAAGCAUCCACAACGGCAGGUUUUCAAGUGCGGUGCACCAAACACAUCAGCAACUGAAAGUGUGAUUGCAAUUCUAUAGAAACCUGACAGUUUUAAGCUGACAGUAGGCACACAAUUCACACAAUUCACAAAAAUCACAAAUGUCUUUGGUAAUAUUGGGGUGCACUAUUGUGCCUUCUCCCAACCUCAAGCACCCACAGACCUGCUAUCAGCUGCCCGAAAAGCAGCAUGAGAAGAUGCGACUCCUGUCAGUGGUCAGCAACUUGGUCUUCUGCUCCUGAAGUAAAAUAUCAUCCUAUAACAGCCAGAGAAGAUCAUUCCUGCAGUUGUUACCAGCUGUAAGGUUACUGGAGGAAAUAAAGGUUUGGCUAGGGA